rnacentral:rRNA from 1 species
UACGUAGGGUGUGAGCGUUAAUCGGAAUUACUGGGCGUAAAGCGUGCGCAGGCGGCGCGUUAAGACAGGUGUGAAAGCCCCGAGCUUAACUUGGGAAUUGCGCUUGUGACUGGCGUGCUGGAGUGUGGCAGAGGGAGGUGGAAUUCCACGUGUAGCAGUGAAAUGCGUAGAGAUGUGGAGGAACACCGAUGGCGAAGGCAGCCUCCUGGGCCAGCACUGACGCUCAUGCACGAAAGCGUGGGAGCAAACAGG